rnacentral:rRNA from 1 species
GACGAACGCUGGCGGCGUGCCUAAUACAUGCAAGUCGAGCGGAGUUGACGAGAAGCUUGCUUCUCUGAUACUUAGCGGCGGACGGGUGAGUAACACGUAGGCAACCUGCCCUCAAGCUUGGGACAACUACCGGAAACGGUAGCUAAUACCGAAUACAUGAUUUGUUCGCCUGAACGAAUUUGGAAAGACGGAGCAAUCUGUCACUUGAGGAUGGGCCUGCGGCGCAUUAGCUAGUUGGUGAGGUAACGGCUCACCAAGGCGACGAUGCGUAGCCGACCUGAGAGGGUGAUCGGCCACACUGGGACUGAGACACGGCCCAGACUCCUACGGGAGGCAGCAGUAGGGAAUCUUCCGCAAUGGACGCAAGUCUGACGGAGCAACGCCGCGUGAGUGAUGAAGGUUUUCGGAUCGUAAAGCUCUGUUGCCAGGGAAGAACGUCCGGGUUAGUAACUGAACCCGGAGUGACGGUACCUGAGAAGAAAGCCCCGGCUAACUACGUGCCAGCAGCCGCGGUAAU